GCCAGAGAGACCAGCAAACCGCCGCCUUCCAUCCCGUUGGGCCCCACCUUCCCCCACUGCCUCACAGUCACAGUCACCCGGACACCCGAUGUCCAUGGAGGAACACGGUGAGGAGGACCCACCAGAGGAGAAGCCACACCUGUGACAGGAUGCAAGCUUGCGUGGAUGAUCGCCGGAAUAGUUCACUGUAAUUUGCAUAACCAGACCAUCACCGCCAUCAGCCAACCUCCAUCCCAAAGGAAAGAUGUAGAUCCUUUCUCAAGGUCGAAGGAUGCUUUUAAAAACACACGGCUACUGAAUGUUCAACCUGGUAAACUGAGAUGUUUCGGGAAUGAAACAGUAAACGUGCCUGUAAUCAUUUUUUCAUAGCUCAGAAAACUAUUUUUGUCUCCCAUCUUUUUUACACAUGAUAUAUUAAACAAAAAAGGUAAAUAAGGUAUAAAUAGAUUUAAAGAGUUUUAAAAUGUACAUUUGAAGAGAUUCCGAGCACCCUUGUUCUCAGUUCUGCCUGCCUGUUGAAUUUGCACUGUUCCGUUCUGGUUGGGUUUCUCCAUGUUGAGUUCGGAGUGUUCUAAGUUAAAUUUUAUUUUGUCCAGUCUUAAUUUUUCAGGAGUCUUUCUUAACGCUUUAGACUGUCUUAACUCAGUGAACUUUUUGUAAUGAUAAGGCCGUGAGGCCAGAAGACGAGAGUGUCUGUCAUCUGAAAGGAUGCAGGCCAACCUUGCUGAAAAGGUACGGAGCCCUUCAGAUAGACUUAAGACUCUGCGUGACCCAUCUGCCCAGCCUGACCGCACGUCCUCGGGCACCUGUACAUACACUGCUCUGUCCCUGCCCUCACCUGCGUGUGUGUCAGUCUGGUCUACUGUAACUUGUUGUGAAGUUCCUUGUACCGUGUGUACUGUUGCUGUUGGUCUCUUGUACCAGUAAGACAAUGGCUCCAUUUUUUUUAAUUAUUGUUAAAACAUUAACUGAUGGUGUACAAAUCUCACUUGACAUUUUUCUUGUUUAAGGAAAAGCACCAUAAAAAAAAAAAUAAGGAGGCCAAACCGAGACAGACAAAGGUGCCUCAGGUCUGCCUGAGACCACGGUGACAUGGAAAUAAAGUCCUUACAAGAAAGC
rnacentral:lncRNA from 1 species